rnacentral:rRNA from 1 species
CUUUACUGCAACUUGACGUUGGAACUUGGCUAUAUUUGUGUAGGAUAGGUGGGAGACUUUGAAGCAGGGCCGCCAGGUCUUGCGGAGUCGUCGUUGAAAUACCACCCUGGUGCUGACGAGUUUCUAACCGUGCCCGUAAGCCGGACAUGAGACAGCGUCUGGUGGGCAGUUUGACUGGGGCGGUCGCCUCCUAAAAGGUAACGGAGGCAUUCAAAGGUCCCCUCAGCGUGGUCGGUAAUCACGCGCAGAGUGCAAACGCAUAAGGGGGCUUAACUGCGAGACCGACAGGUCGAGCAGGUACGAAAGUAGGAGUUAGUGAUCCCGUGGUUUAGCGUGGAAUUGCCGUUGCUCAAUGGAUAAAAGGUA